rnacentral:tRNA from 1 species
GCCGGCGUAGCUCAGCUGGUAGAGCGUCUGAUUUGUAAUCAGAGGGUCGCAGGUUCGAUUCCUGUCGCCGGCUCCA